GAUGAACGCUAGCGGCAGGCCUAACACGUGCAAGUCGAGGGAGAAGCCCUUUCGGGGGCAGAAACCGGCGCACGGGUGCGUAACGCGUAUGCAACCUACCUUUCACAGGGGGAUAGCCCGAAGAAAUUUGGAUUAAUACCCCAUAAUAUUAUUGGAUGGCAUCAUUUGAUAAUUAAAACUGCGGUGGUGAAAGAUGGGCAUGCGUCCUAUUAGCUAGUUGGAGUGGUAACGGCACCCCAAGGCUACGAUAGGUAGGGGUCCUGAGAGGGAGAUCCCCCACACUGGUACUGAGACAGGGACCAGACGCCUACGGGAGGAAGCAGUGAGGAAUAUUGGUCAAUGGUCGGAAGACUGAACCAGCCAUGCCGCGUGCAGGAAGAAUGCCUUAUGGGUUGUAAACUGCUUUUAUAUGGGAAGAAUAAGGCGUACGUGUACGUUGAUGACGGUACCAUAUGAAUAAGCAUCGGCUAACUCCGUG
rnacentral:rRNA from 1 species